GCUCCGAUGUCUAUUUUCAUCUCACUCGGCGGCGUCGCGGCCACCCCUUGUCGCACCGCGUUCUCAGUAUCAUCGUCCGCCUAAAAAGGUAGAUUGACCGUGGAAGUAACGCGAUCCGCGAUUGGUCGGCCAGGUCGACGAAUCGGUCGUCGCGUUACACCCCAGGAUCACGUUGCACGCGCUUAUAUUGGGAGCCCCCGCGCGUUUCCCCGACAGAACGGCUCUCUAACGGCCGCCCGAAACGUGCCGCCAGAAGUAGUCCGUCCGCCGCCGAACCAACAACAAGCCCCAAAGGCAAACGACAGGAAGAAGAGGAACAGUCCUCCCCUCCUACCGAAAAA